UGAGGAAUAUUGGUCAAUGGGCGGAAGCCUGAACCAGCCAAGUCGCGUGAGGGAAUAAGGCCCUACGGGUCGUAAACCUCUUUUGCCGGGGAGCAAGGGCGGGGACGUGUCCCGGCCCGGAGAGUACCCGGGGAAAAAGCAUCGGCUAACUCCGUGCC
rnacentral:rRNA from 1 species